rnacentral:tRNA from 2 species
GCCGAAGUGGCGGAACUGGUAGACGCGACGGUCUCAAACACCGUUGGGGUUCACGCCCCGUGUGGGUUCGAGUCCCACCUUCGGCACCA